rnacentral:rRNA from 1 species
CACGUAGUUAGCCGGUGCUUCUUCUGCAGGUACCGUCACUUGCGCUUCGUCCCUGCUGAAAGAGGUUUACAACCCGAAGGCCGUCAUCCCUCACGCGGCGUCGCUGCAUCAGGCUUUCGCCCAUUGUGCAAUAUUCCCCACUGCUGCCUCCCGUAGGAGUCUGGGCCGUGUCUCAGUCCCAGUGUGGCCGGUCACCCUCUCAGGUCGGCUACCCGUCGUCGCCUUGGUAGGCCAUUACCCCACCAACAAGCUGAUAGGCCGCGGGCCCAUCCUGCACCGAUAAAUCUUUCCACCCCAAGUCAUGCAACCUGAGGUCAUAUCCGGUAUUAGACCCAGUUUCCCAGGCUUAUCCCGAAGUGCAGGGCAGAUCACCCACGUGUUACUCACCCGUUCGCCGCUCGUGUACCCCGAAAGGCCUUACCGCUCGACUUGCAUGUGUUAAGCACGCCGCCAGCGUUCGUCCUGAGCCAGGAUCAAACUCU